UGCCUCGCGACCAGUCACUGUUUUAUUCACCUGUCACGCAACCCGUCGCAGUUUUAUUCGCAUGUUACACUGCCUAUUAUUUGCCUUUUGAUACCCUUUCUACAAUGACAUGUUUGUGCAUUUGCUUUAUUAAUAAUGUUUUACAUGUUGGCAGACUUCAAAUAUAUAGUACAUGUUAGCAGACUAAUAUAUGUACAAUUAUUAAAAUGAUUGCUUUUUAACAGACAGAGGCAAUAAUAGAAAGAGUGUAUGAAGUCACACAACUGGCUAGAGAUUCCAUGGAGAAUACGUCCUACAUUCUGGACGUUAUGACCCCUGAGGUAACCUCAUUAUUCUCCACAAGACUGAGGGCUUUCACAGGUACCAGGGAGAAAUGGCAUUACAGUCAAACAUUUCUUUGGAGUUACCACAGCGAGCAGGAUGCAGUUCAUGGCCUGACCUGAUGGUAGAGCGGAGAAUGGGAAGUGGGGACCUGACAAGAGCUGAGAUGAUAGAGCUGGAUAAAGAAGGACGCGGUCUCUUGACAUGUCUUCACCACAAAAUUUCAAAUGCUAUUAGAUUAUUAAUGAUAAUCUUAAACUAUAAUUUAUUUUAUUAUUAAGUUUAUUUAUUUUAUUUAGCCUUGUUGUGCAAGUUCUCUGGAGCUUGUGCAGAGGCAGCAGCUUUUGCCAGAGGGGAACUGGAAUCCCCUGGUUGGGCCUGGGUUCUCCUGAGGUUUUUUUUUCUCGAUUAGAGUUUUGGGUUCCUCGCCACCGUUUGCAUACUGUUUUUGCACUAUCUGCCUGACCGGGGGGGCUGCUUUAGAAUCUUAAAGUUUUACUUAAUUAAUAUUGCAUAUAGGAAUUUAUUAUCUGUUAUAUUUGACCUGUGCUUCUCUCUCCUUUAUCCUAAAUGUGUGCUCUCACUGAGCGUGUGUGUGUGUGCGUACUUGUCUGUGUACGUACGUGUGUGUGUGUGUGUGUGUGUGUGUGUCUCUGUGUCUGUGUGUGUUGGUGCGUGUUGUGUGUGUGGAGUGUUUUGUGUGUGGGUGUGUCUGUCUUCUGUGUUUUCAACCUUUUCUUGUUUUUGCAGGUACAACUUUGAUUGUUUUGCUUGUAGUCAAUGUGUCUCAUGUACAGCUGCUUUGUAACAAUGAAAAUUGUAAAAGCGCUAUAUAAAUAAAGUUGAGUUGAGAGUUGAGUUGAGUUUAUUAAUCAGUGCUAAUCCCCGCAU